AUUGAACGCUGGCGGCAUGCCUAACACAUGCAAGUCGAACGGUAACAGGCCCUUCGGGGUGCUGACGAGUGGCGGAUGGGUGAGUAAUACUUAGGAAUCUACCCUGUAGUGGGGGACAACCCGGGGAAACUCGGGCUAAUACCGCAUACGCUCUACGGAGGAAAGCGGGGGACCGCAAGGCCUCGCGCUAUUGGAUGAGCCUAAGCCAGAUUAGCUAGUUGGUAGGGUAAUGGCCUACCAAGGCGACGAUCUGUAACCGGCCUGAGAGGGCGGUCGGUCACACUGACACUGACAUACGGGUCAGACUCCUACGGGAGGCAGCAGUCGGGAAUUUUGGGCAAUGGGCGCAAGCCUGACCCAGCAACGCCGCGUGAAGGAUGAAAUCCCUCGGGAUGUAAACUUCGCAAGAAUGGGAAGAAUAAGUAGGGGACAAUACCCCCUAUGAUGACGGUACCAUUUGUAAG
rnacentral:rRNA from 1 species